rnacentral:rRNA from 1 species
UACGAAGGGGGCUAGCGUUGUUCGGAUUUACUGGGCGUAAAGCGCACGUAGGCGGACUUUUAAGUCAGGGGUGAAAUCCCGGGGCUCAACCCCGGAACUGCCUUUGAUACUGGAAGUCUUGAGUAUGGUAGAGGUGAGUGGAAUUCCGAGUGUAGAGGUGAAAUUCGUAGAUAUUCGGAGGAACACCAGUGGCGAAGGCGGCUCACUGGACCAUUACUGACGCUGAGGUGCGAAAGCGUGGGGAGCAAAC